ACCUGGUUGGCUCAGUCAGUGGAGUGUGCAACUCCUGAUCUCCGGGUUGUGGGUUCGAGCCCCACAUUGGGUG
rnacentral:tRNA from 1 species